rnacentral:rRNA from 1 species
GUUGAACGCUGGCGGCAUGCUUUACACAUGCAAGUCGAACGGUAACAGCACUUCGGUGGCUGACGAGUGGCGCACGGGUGCGUAAUACAUCGGAACGUGCCUAGUAGUUGGGGAUAACUACUCGGAAGAGUAGCUAAUACCGCAUGAGAUCUAAGGAUGACAGCAGGGGACCUUCGGGCCUUGCGCUACUAGAGCGGCUGAUGGCAGAUUAGGUAGUUGGUGGGAUAAAAGCUUACCAAGCCGACGAUCUGUAGCUGGUCUGAGAGGACGACCAGCCACACUGGGACUGAGACACGGCCAAGACUCCUACGGGAGGCAGCAGUGGGGAAUGUUGGACAAUGGGCGCAAGCCUGAUCCAGCAAUGCAGCGUGCAGGAUGAAGGCCUUCGAGUUGUAAACUGCGUUUGUACGGAACGAAAAGCUCUCUUCUAAUACAGGAGGGUCAUGACGGUACCGGAAGAAUAAGCACCGGCUAACUACGUG